CCCUUAGACGUUCUGGGCCGCACGCGCGCUACACUGACCAGUGCAACAAGCAUCCGUCCUUGGCCGACAGGCUCGGGCAAUCUUUGAACGCUGGUCGUGAUGGGGAUAGACUUUUGCAAUUUUUGGUCUUCAACGAGGAAUUCCUAGUAAACGCAAGUCAUCAACUUGCAUUGAUUACGUCCCUGCCCUUUGUACACACCGCCCGUCGCACCUACCGAUUGAAUGGACCGGUGAAGCCUCCGGAUUGGCGCGCACCUCGGUGCCGCCGAGAAGUUGGCUAAACCUUACCAUUUAGAGGAAGGUGAAGUCGUAACA
rnacentral:rRNA from 1 species